GCUAAACCGGAAGUUAGAAGAAAAUGACCGAAAAGUGUCAAAAACACUUUGAGGUUAUAAAAUAUGAGCCGGAAGUUAGAAGAAAAUGAUCGAAAAGUAUCAAAAACAAUUUGAGGUUAUAAAAUGUGAACCGAAAGUUAGAAGAAAAUGAUGGAAAAGUAUCAAAAACACUUUGAGGUUAUAAAAUGUGAACCGAAAGUUAGAAGAAAAUGAUGGAAGAGUAUCAAAAACAAUUUGAGGUUAUAAAAUGUGAGCCAGAAAUUAGAAGAAAAUCAUCGAAAU